rnacentral:rRNA from 1 species
AUUGAACGCUGGCGGCAGGCUUAACACAUGCAAGUCGAGCGAGCGGCGGACGGGUGAGUAAUGUCUGGGAAACUGCCUGCUGGAGGGGGAUAACUACUGGAACCGGUAGCUAAUACCGCAUACCAUCAGAUGUGCCCAGAUGGGAUUGGCUAGUAGGUGGGGUAAUGGCUCACCUAGGCGACGAUCACUAGCUGGUCGGAGAGGAUGACGAGCCACACUGGAACUGAGACACGGUCAAGACUCCUACGGGAGGCAGAAGUGGGGAAGAUUGGAAAAUGGGCGCAAGCCUGAUGCAGCGAUGCCGCGUGUGUGAAGAAGGCCUUCGGGUUGUAAAGCACUUUCAGCGAGGAGGCGUUACUCGCAGAAGAAGCACCGGCUAACUCCGUGCCAGCAGCCGCGGUAAUUC